GGUGAUAUCCAGCAGCUGCUCUUCGUCUCGGACCACCGGGCAGCUUACGAUUACUGCGAGCACUAUAGCCCCGACUGUGACACGGCUGUCCCUGACAAGCCCCAGUCACAGGACCCCAACCCAGACGAAUACUACCCGGAAGGAGAAGGUGAAGGUGAUACCUACUACUAUGAGUACCCCUACUACGAGGACACGGAGGACCCGGGCAAAGAGCCCACCCCCACCAAGAAGCCCGUGGAAGCUGCUAGAGAGACCACAGAGAUUGCCGAGGAGCAGACCCCACCCACCACAGCAGCCCCUCCGGUGCCCGACGCCAGCGAGGGGGCCGGGAAGGAGGAGGACCCCGGCAUUGGGGACUACGACUACAUGCCCAGCGAGG